GACGAACGCUGGCGGCGUGCUUAACACAUGCAAGUCGAACGGUAAGGCCCUUCGGGGUACACGAGUGGCGAACGGGUGAGUAACACGUGGGUGAUCUGCCCUGCACUUCGGGAUAAGCCUGGGAAACUGGGUCUAAUACCGGAUAGGACUCCGGACUGCAUGGUCUGGGGUGGAACGCUUUUGCGGUGUGGGAUGGGCCCGCGGCCUAUCAGCUUGGUGGUGGGGUGAUGGCCUACCAAGGCGACGACGGGUAGCCGGCCUGAGAGGGUGACCGGCCACACUGGGACUGAGAUACGGCCCAGACUCCUACGGGAGGCAGCAGUGGGGAAUAUUGCACAAUGGGCGCAAGCCUGAUGCAGCGACGCCGCGUGAGGGAUGACGGCCUUCGGGUUGUAAACCUCUUUCAGCAUCGACGAAGCGAAAGUGACGGUAGGUGCAGAAGAAGGACCGGCCAACUACGUGCCAGCCACCGCCGUAA
rnacentral:rRNA from 1 species